rnacentral:misc_RNA from 1 species
GUGAAUCAUCGAAUCUUUGAACGCAAAUUGCACUCUCUUCGGAGAGUGUGCCUGUUUCAGGUUCAGCCUCAAAAAAAAUCGACAUAGUCGCUGUUUCGCGGUGACAUUCUUCGGCAAUUGGUUCAUCUUAAACCUUUGUGUUUUAAGCGGCUUAAAAUUUUCUUUACGUUUCUUCGAACGUUUCUAAAAUUUACUUCUUAUACUUUUAAUAUAUCGAUCUUUAUUAGACUUUCCUCUUGCUUCGGACCU